GUGGAAACUUUUGCAUGCCAUGCCAGGAAGAAGUCCGUCUGCUCAACAACAAGAUCUUGAAAGACCUUUCUUUCCACAGAGAGCAUCCUCAUUUUUUGUAGCUGCAUAAUAUUCCAUGGCGAGGCUGUGCCAACAUCUACUUAACCAGCAUCCGUCACCCUGGAUCUCAAACGUCUGCCCACAGACCCGUCUCCCCCACCCGCCCAUAGCUUCUCAAGGGACCCUCCUCGCCCACCUGGAUUUGGUUGUCCUGCGGACUUAAACUUCUCUACAGCAUCUGAAAUCAACCUAACUCAUUUGUCACCUGACUCGCCCCACCUCACCCCUCCAACUAGAAAAUAAACUGCAUGGGAGCAAAGACAAUGUCCGCACUGUCCACCGUGAGUCCCUACCUGGACGGUGCCUCACCUAGGAUGUGAGUCCCGCACUUGGCCCAGGGGAGCCAAGCUCCUGCAGCAGCUCCGCCUGACAGAAUUAUUCCUGCCAGCCCUCACAGAG